AGAGAUGAGGCUUUCCCGCAAGGGACGGCUGGAUAGGUGCUGCAUGGCUGUCGUCAGCUCGUGUCGUGAGAUGUUGGGUUAAGUCCCGCAACGAGCGCAACCCUCACCCUUAGUUGCUCGCCCGCAAGGGAAGCACCCUAAGGGAACCGCCUCGGAUAACGGGGAGGAAGGUGGGGAUGACGUCAAGUCCUCAUGGCCCUUACACCCUGGGCUACACACGUGCUACAAUGGCGGUGACAGUGGGCAGCUACUCAGCGAUGAGCGGCUAAUCCCAAAAAACCGCCCCAGUUCAGAUUGUACUCUGCAACUCGAGUACAUGAAGGUGGAAUCGCUAGUAAUCGCAGAACAGCAGGCUGCGGUGAAUACGUUCCCGGGCCUUGUACACACCGCCCGUCACGGCAUGGGAGUUGGUUCUACCUUAAGACGGCGCGCUAACCGCAAGGGGGCAGCCGGCCACGGUAGGAUCAGCGACUGGGCCGAAGUCGUAACAAGGUAACCGUAA
rnacentral:rRNA from 1 species